AUUGAACGCUGGCGGCAGGCCUAACACAUGCAAGUCGAGCGGCAGCGGGAAGUAGCUUGCUACUUUGCCGGCGAGCGGCGGACGGGUGAGUAAUGCCUGGGGAUCUGCCCAAUCGAGGGGGUUAACUACUGGAAACGGUAGCUAAUACCGCAUACGCCCUACGGGGGAAAGCAGGGGACCUUUUGGCCUUGCGCGAUUGGAUGAACCCAGGUGGGAUUAGCUUGUUGGUGAGGUAACGGCUCACCAAGGCGACGAUCCCUAGCUGGUCUGAGAGGAUGAUCAGCCACACUGGAACUGAGACACGGUCCAGACUCCUACGGGAGGCAGCAGUGGGGAAUAUUGCACAAUGGGGGAAACCCUGAUGCAGCCAUGCCGCGUGUGUGAAGAAGGCCUUCGGGUUGUAAAGCACUUUCAGCGAGGAGGAAGGGGAGUGAGCUAAUACCUUACUUCAUUGACGUUACUCGCAGAAGAAGCACCGGCUAACUCCGUGCCAGCCGCCGCAGUAACAC
rnacentral:rRNA from 1 species